AGGGCUAUAGCCAAGCGGUAAGGCAAAUGGCUCUGACCCAUUCAUCGUUGGUUCAAAUCCAGCUAGCCCUGCCA
rnacentral:tRNA from 2 species